GAGGACAUCAUCGUUUUGGCUGAUCCAUUGUUCGUUUUAGGUUCAUUGAUACGGUGAGGUUUGAUUGGAUUCUUAGUCCUAGUUGAUCAGAUAUUUCACAUUGUGGAGAUCUUAAAUAGUUGCUGAAAAAAAUUUCCUUUCUCUUUGAUUAUUGUUGGUUUCUUGAUUUGUUAUUUGACCUUUUCACAACCAAACGAUGAGGUCAUCGAUCUGAUGCUUCGGUGAUGUUUUUGAGUAAUUCUCAACAAUUGAUGCACUCGAUCUGUCUGAUGGAAUAGAUUGUGCGAUCAUCGUCAUUGAGAUUUCUGCGUCCUUGUUUUCUUCUUAGAAUUCCAUUUUUAUUUCUUUCCAUUUAUGUUUUCUUCCAACUUUGCUCUGGAUUUGUGGUUCGGGAUAUUUGGUUUACUGUUCCACUGCCAAGCUUUUGCUCUGGCAGUGGCAGCUUAUGGUAACGAACAAAGUUUUGCUACUAGAAGUAAGAUUUCGAUCCGCUGAUAGUAAUUCCAAGCUCUUCCUUGAGAUAGGCAUUAACCAGAGUGGACUGGGCAAUGGAUGGUUUCUGCUAACAGUCAGUAAUCACUUGAUGGCUUACGCAAGUCAUAACGCUCCUUGCCCCACUAGUCUUAAAGAUUUGCAACUACCUUUCACCAUGUUUACUUUUUGUCAGCACUUCUUUACUGCUUAUCUUCUUCAAUUAUUUUUAUUAAAUAUUUUAACAUAAUUGAUUUACUGAUCUCUUGUUUGUGAUGAUCCAAAAUAGGAAAUAAUUGAUGCUUGUGUUUAACAAUGUCAGUUUAGGUGCAUGAUUCAUUUUUCCAAGUUACAUUCAGUGAAUUUCAACAUUUUAUCGAAACUUGGGUUUGUUGGACAUUUUUAACUUACAUGGCGUUCAUUUUCUUCUUAAUUUUAUAUUUGAAAUAUGGAGGCAAAAAACUGUCACAACACUCGGUAAAUCCUUUAUGAUUAUUGUAAAACCAUGAUAAGGAUAUAAAUAAAGAUUUUCACAACUUCUUUUGCCUAUGAUAAUAGUUUUCUUGUUUCU
rnacentral:lncRNA from 1 species